rnacentral:rRNA from 1 species
UACGGAGGGGGCAAGCGUUGUUCGGAAUUACUGGGCGUAAAGGGCUCGUAGGUGGCCAACUAAGUCAGACGUGAAAUCCCGCGGCUUAACCGGGGAACUGCGUCUGAUACUGGAUGGCUUGAGAUUGGGAGAGGGAUGCGGAAUUCCAGGUGUAGCGGUGAAAUGCGUAGAUAUCUGGAGGAACACCGGUGGCGAAGGCGGCAUCCUGGACCAACACUGACACUGAGGAGCGAAAGCCAGGGGAGCAAACGGG